rnacentral:rRNA from 1 species
AGUGAACGCUGGCGGCAGGUCUAACACAUGCCAGUCGAACGGCAGCACAAGAGAGCUUGCUCUCUGGGUGGCGAGUGGCGGACGGGUGAGGAAUGCAUCGGAAUCUGCCCAUUUGUGGGGGAUAACCUCGGGAAACCGGGACUAAUACCGCAUACGACCUACGGGUGAAAGCAGGGGAUCUUCGGACCUUGCGCAGAUGGAUGAGCCGAUGCCGGAUUAGCUAGUUGGAGGGGUAAAGGCCCACCAAGGCGACGAUCCGUAGCUGGUCUGAGAGGAUGAUCAGCCACACUGGGACUGAGACACGGCCCAGACUCCUACGGGAGGCAGCAGUGGGGAAUAUUGGACAAUGGGCGCAAGCCUGAUCCAGCCAUGCCGCGUGUGUGAAGAAGGCCUUCGGGUUGUAAAGCACUUUUGUUGGGAAAGAAAAGCAGCCGGUUAAUACCCGGUUGUCAUGACGGUACCCAAAGAAUAAGCACCGGCUAACUUCGUG